rnacentral:rRNA from 1 species
GGCCUACCAUGGUGGUAACGGGUAACGGGGUGUUAGGGCACGACACCGGAGAGGGAGCCUGAGAAACGGCUACCACAUCCAAGGAUGGCAGCAGGCGCGCAAAUUACCCAAUCCCGACACGGGGAGGUAGUGACAAUAAAUAACAAUACGGGGUUCUUUCGGAUCUCGUAAUUGGAAUGAGUACAGUUUAAAUCUCUUAACGAGGAACAAUUGGAGGGCAAGUCUGGUGCCAGCAGCCGCGGUAAUUCCAGCUCCAAUAGCGUAUAUUAAAGUUGUUGCAGUUAAAAAGCUCGUAGUUGAAUUUCGGGAUCAGUAGGUUGGUCAUGCCUAUGGUAUGUACUGGCUUUACUGGUUCCUCCUUCUUGAUGAUCUGUAAUGUCAUUAAUUUGGUGUUGCAGGGAAUCGGGACGGUUACUUUGAAAAAAUUAGAGUGUUUAAAGCAGGCAUACGCUUGAAUACAUUAGCAUGGAAUAAUGAAAUAGGACGUUCGAUCCUAUUUUGUUGGUUUCUAGGAUUGACGUAAUGAUUAAUAGGGAUAGUUGGGGGCAUUAGUAUUCAAUUGUCAGAGGUGAAAUUCUUGGAUUUAUUGAAGACUAACUACUGCGAAAGCAUUUGCCAAGGAUGUUUUCAUUAAUCAAGAACGAAAGUUAGGGGAUCGAAGACGAUCAGAUACCGUCGUAGUCUUAACCAUAAACUAUGCCGACUAGGGAUCGGAUGAUGUUAUUUUUAAUGACUCAUUCGGCGCCUUACG